rnacentral:rRNA from 1 species
UACGGAGGGUGCAAACGUUGCUCGGAAUCAUUGGGCGUAAAGCGCACGUAGGUGGCUUGUUAAGUCGGGUGUGAAAUCCCUGGGCUCAACCCAGGAAGUGCACUCGAAACUGGCGAGCUUGAGUACUGAAGAGGGUCGCGGAAUUCCCGGUGUAGAGGUGAAAUUCGUAGAUAUCGGGAGGAACACCAGUGGCGAAGGCGGCGACCUGGGCAGAUACUGACACUGAGGUGCGAAAGCGUGGGGAGCGAACAGG